GGCGGGGCCGCCGCGCCCUGGGGCGGAGGGCGGGCCGCCUCGUGACGUGUGUGCGCCGUCUCCUCCCCCGGCCGCCCCUGCCCGCUGCGGACGCCCGAGCGAGCCUCCCGGGCCAGGUGCAGGCCCAGGAGGCGCCCAGGGGCUCUUCGGGUCCCCCCACCUCGGACGCCCGCCCCACUCACUGGCUCUGGCUUGUGACAGGCCCCUCUGAUCUGCCCGACUCCCGCACUCACAGCCCCCGAGACGCCAGGAGCUUCUCCAGCUGGAGCAGCUGGAAAACCAGCUGUCAGACGCCAUUCAACGCUACGGCCUUGUGCAAAAGAAAAUUGCAGAGAAAUCCAGAGCACUGCUUCCCACAGCACAGAGGGGCAGCAAACAGGCGAGUGCCAAUAUUCGGGUAG
rnacentral:lncRNA from 1 species